rnacentral:rRNA from 1 species
CAAUAGCGUAUAUUAAAGUUGUUGCAGUUAAAAGCUCGUAGUCGGAUUUUGGCAUCAUGCCGAACUGUCAACCGAUUGGUUUGUACGGUUUGGCGGGUGCUCUCCUUCCGGAGGCUCGUUCCCUUCUUCAUUGAAGGGUUCGAUGGUUCCGGGUCUUUUACUUUGAAAAAUUAGAGUGUUCAAAGCAGGCCUAUGCUCUGAAUAGGUUAGCAUGGAAUAAUAGAAUAGGACUUUGGUUCUAUUUUGUUGGUUUCUAGGACCGAAGUAAUGAUUAAUAGGGACAGUUGGGGGCAUUCAUAUUCCAAUGUCAGAGGUGAAAUUCUUGGAUUUAUGAAAGACUAACUACUGCGAAAGCAUUUGCCAAGGAUGUUUUCAUUAAUCAAGAACGAAAGUUAGGGGAUCGAAGACGAUCAGAUACCGU